rnacentral:rRNA from 1 species
CCUACGGGAGACAGCAGUGAGGAAUAUUGGUCAAUGGACGAGAGUCUGAACCAGCCAAGUAGCGUGAAGGAUGACUGCCCUAUGGGUUGUAAACUUCUUUUAUAUGGGAAUAAAAUGUUCCACGUGUGGGAUUUUGUAUGUACCAUAUGAAUAAGGAUCGGCUAACUCCGUGCCAGCAGCCGCGGUAAUACGGAGGAUCCGAGCGUUAUCCGGAUUUAUUGGGUUUAAAGGGAGCGUAGGUGGAUUGUUAAGUCAGUUGUGAAAGUUUGCGGCUCAACCGUAAAAUUGCAGUUGAAACUGGCAGUCUUGAGUACAGUAGAGGUGGGCGGAAGUCGUGGUGUAGCGGUGAAAUGCUUAGAUAUCACGAAGAACUCCGAUUGCGAAGGCAGUUCACUGGACUGCAACUGACACUGAGGCUCGAAAGUGUGGGUAUCAAACAGGAUUAGAUACCCUUGUAGUC